CCUGGUAGUCCACGCUGUAUACGAUGAGUACUAUCUGUUGGAGUCGGUGUAAAGGCUAUAGUGGCGCAGCUAACGCGAUUAGUACUCCGCCUGGGGACUACGGCCGCAAGGCUAAAACUCAAAGGAUUUGACGGGGACCCGCACAUGCGGUGGAGCAUGUGGUUUAAUUCGAUGCUACGCGUAGAACCUUACCUGGUAUUGUCAUCCUGCGAACUUUCUAGAGAUAGAUUGGUGACUUA
rnacentral:rRNA from 1 species